rnacentral:piRNA from 1 species
UACAAACCCGUGAAGCACGGCCGGCCC